GGGGAAAAGAAAAAAGCUGAAACACAAGGUUCAUCUGGGAUGAACAGGAUCACAAAAGUCCUCGGCUCUCCUCGAUGGGCAUUCUGAAGAGUCAAAAGCUGCUGAGCUAGCCACCUUCCCUCUUCCAGGUCUAUCAUUAGUGCCAGUCAUGGAAGUCAGCUUGGAUUUGGGGUCAGAAUUUGACUUUUAGUACAACAUAAUUGUUUCUUGCCAAGAGUGUCAUUUAUUUUAGUCUUAAUCAAGCUUCAUAAAUAAACUUUCUUUUAAGUCUUGCUUGAACAAAUAAACCUUUAGAUUCUUUGAAAACUAUGAUAGAUUGCAUGGUUGGAGUGUGGGCUCUUCCUGAGAAAGAUAAUGAAAAGCUUGCUUUUUUUCCCCCAUGUAUAUCAAAGCACAAAUCUAGAUGUGGCUUCCUAACAAUCAAUAUAUAAAUUGUUAAGACUUGAACCAUAUUUUAUGCAUGUUAGUAUUGAAUAACAAAACAAAAACCACACAAUAAAUAAAAAACAAAACAAAAAAAUCAAUAGUCAUUGUUUAUAUUUGAGUAUUAUACAGAGAAAAAUAGGAGGAAACCAGAUUUUAUUUAUCAAACAUUUUAAUCCUUAUAAUAACCCUGCAACAUGUGUACUAUUAUUCCCAUUUUCAGAUAUAAAAUGUUAAACAAUUUUUCCAAGAAUUCAGACUAGUUAUUUCUGAUCCCAAAGUCUAGUUUUUAUUUAGUGGUUUUUGUUUUGUUACCAUACAGGCAUUGUAGGAGAAAUUUAUCAUGGUCCUACCUACCCCCUGCCCCGACAGGGACGUGGCAAUCACAUAUUUCUGUUUUCCUGUAUUCAUGUUGAACCAUUAAUGGUGGGCAAUAAAGACCCCCAGAGACAUCCAUUUCUAAUCCCUGGAACCUGUGAAUAUGUUAGAUAAUGUUGCUAUGGUGAAUUAGUUUGCUGACAGAAUUAAGGUUGCUAAUCAGCUGACUUUAAAAGAGAUAUUAAAUAUUUGUCUGGAUUACCUGAUUGGGUUUGGUGUAAUCACAAGGUUUUUUUUUUAAGUAGAAGAGAGAGAUAUGACUAUAGACGAAUGUUUAGAGAGAUGCAAUGUGGCUGGCUGUGAAGACAUAGGAAGUGGGCAAUGAGCCAAGAAAUGUGGGAGGCCUUUAGAAGCUGAAAAAGGCAAGGAAAUGAAUUUUCUCCAAGAGCUCCAGAAAAAGAGUGUAUGUACCCUGCCAGCAUUUUGAUUUUAGCUCAGUGAGACCCAUUUUAGAUUUCUGACCUCCAGAAUUGUAAGAUAAUGAAUUCGCACUUUUUAAACCACUAAGUUUGUGAUAAUUUUUUACAGCAGCCAUGGAAAAUUAAUACCGCUAGUAUAUACUAUGUACCCCCUUCUUCAUUCAUCUCUGCUGGCUUUGUACCUAACCCACAGCUUCAUCUUCUAAUCUGGCUUGCUACUAACCUCAGACCCUGGGCCUUGAAGUUGGUAAAACAUUGAAGACCAUCUGUUUUAAAUCACUCCAAUGAACAACACUGAGGACCCUAAGCUAGUAAUCCUAGCUCCAAUGUUGGACAAGUGAACACUAAUAGUAGGACUCAUUAGCAUGUAAUGCUAUGUCAUUCUAAUGAAUGUAUUGUGAGUCAAAUGAAAUAAAAGUUAUAUGCUUUUAAUAUAUCAUAGUCUUAAGACUGGAAAGGAUUUUUUUAGACUAUCUGGUGUAAUAGUGUCAUUUCAAAUUCUUAUCUUUCAGAUGGGGAAACCAAGAAACUGAGAAUCAAAGAGGUUAAAUGACUUAAGAAAGAUUUCACCUCUAGUUAGAGGCAGAGACAAAUCUAGAAUUUUUCCUGAUUCUGAGUGCAAUGCACUUUCCUGACCUUCACUCAACCUGAGUUUGAUCUUACAGAGGAAGUCUUUGAAGACCUGCUGGGACAAUUGUUUGUUUCCCACAGAAUUCUGCGGCUAGCUCUAUUUCCUUAAUCCUGAAAUUCCAGCUCAGUACUUAUUUUCCAAACCUGUCACCAUUAACUUGAUUUUCUUCCUUUCCUCUUCCUUGCUCCCCAUCAUAUGUAAACUCUGAUUUAUAUCUGACCAGGAAACACACUCAAAAUAUAUUUCUCAAGUGUUUACCCAAUGGUGCCCCAGGCAAUACCAAUAAUGAUGAGCUAAACAAUCAUAUAUUAUUGUCUGUGAAUAUUUACUUUGUGACAGAGUCCUAAUCCUCUCCCAAAUGGUUAGCAAAUUCACUGAAAUUAUUUACUGGAAGAAUUCUAAUUUUUCAAAUAAUUCUUCUUUAUCUAAGUCCCACAAUUAUCUUCUCUUAUCCAGCUUCCCCCAAGCCCCACUUCAGACCUUACUUACUGAAUUUUUUCUAGCUCUUUAACCUCUCUGUAGUACUUCAUCCCUUAAUGCUUUUGUUCUUACUGAUUAUUUUCUCCUAAAAUAUAUCCAUCAUCCUAUUUGUUUAUACAUUUAUUAUAGAAUGCAUUUUCUAAACACUUGUGUUAGGAAUGAGGCUAGGUGCUGGUGUGGUCAUCAGCAAAGUACACAGUCCAUGAACUCAUAGCAGGUAGGAUACAGACAAAUGAAAUGGCAAUUAUAAAAGCACAUGAAAUAAGUGCAACAAUUAGAUAAGUGUAGAUACGUUGUUGGGAGAAACACCUAAGACGGCCUUUGUGGAGGGAAUCUGUUUGUGUGUGAAAUCAUGGCUUGUCCAUCAUUGUAUUGGCUGGGAUUGAUGAGCAAAUGAUAUGUAAUACACACUCAAUAAAUGUUGGUAGAACUAAUAAGAAUGAUCUGUGGUGAAAUGACUCCUGAGACAGUGACUAUGUUCUCUUUACUUCCAGGUCACUUUGCAUCGUAAACACUUAAUGUCUCUCUAGAUAGAAUUAAUCAGAGAGUGGUAGAAACUAUUAACACCUGGAUACUUCAGUUUUAUAAACUAAAAGCUUUUGAGUUAUUUUACCCAUUGAAUGAUCUUUAUUGCCUGCUCAGACUGAGUAAAUUCAAGCACCUGAAGGAUAAAUGAAAGUUUAUCCUUUAGAUAUAACAGGUUUGCAUCCUGGCUCUGCCAUUUAUGAGUAUUGACUUGAGGUUCAUUAAUUAAGCCCUCUAAGCCCUAGCUGUUAAACGGGCAUAAUCAGGAUACGUUGAAGGAAUUAAAAGUAAUAACAUGCAAAGGAACUGAAACAGUGACUGCUACACAGUAAACACUCAAUAAAUGUUAAUCCUCUUUGCAUCCUCCUCUAAACCUUUGAUAAUAUAUAUUUAGCAUAAUAUUUUGGAAUAUCUGAAAGUAAAUGAAAUUAUGCACAAGUAAUUGAAUUUCUAUUCAUAUUUUUGCAUAGUAGUUACUAUCUGGAUACUAGGCUGAAAAGAAUAAAAAAUUGGAACUCUUUAAGUAAAUGCGCUUUUCUGUCUCUUAUAUACAUCCAGUUGGCUAUUGAAACAACAUGGGAGAAAGGCAGGCAGAAGCAAGAUACCCCAUCCACUUACCUUAUUUUUUCUCUACAUGAAAUAAAUGAUUUAUAUUGAGUUUCUGGAUUUUUAAAGUUACCUUUUUUUGUUUUUUUCCUGGAGUCUCACUCUGUUGCCC
rnacentral:lncRNA from 10 species